rnacentral:rRNA from 1 species
GUGCCAGCCGCCGCGGUAAUACCGGCAGCCCGAGUGAUGGCCGAUCUUAUUGGGCCUAAAGCGUCCGUAGCUGGCCGCGCAAGUCCGUCGGGAAAUCCACCUGCCCAACAGGUGGGCGUCCGGCGGAAACUGUGUGGCUUGGAACCGGAAGGCUCAGAGGGUACGUUCGGGGUAGGAGUGAAAUCCCAUAAUCCCGCACGGACCACCGAUGGCGAAAGCACUCUGAGAAGACAGCUUCGACAGUGAGGGACGAAAGCUCGGGUCUCAAACCGGAUUAGAUACCCGAGUAGUCC